GCAGCAGCCACGGGAAUACGGAGGGGGCUAGCGUUGUUCGGAAUUACUGGGCGUAAAGCGCACGUAGGCGGCUUUGUAAGUCAGAGGUGAAAGCCCGGAGCUCAACUCCGGAAUUGCCUUUAAGACUGCAGAGCUAGCAGGUGAGAGAGGUGAGUGGAAUUCCGAGUGUAGAGGUGAAAUUCGUAGAUAUUCGGAAGAACACCAGUGGCGAAGGCGGCUCACUGGCUCAUACUGGACGCUGAGGUGCGAAAGCGUGGGGAGCAAACAGGAUUAGAUACCCCCGUAGUCCCUGUCUCUUAUAC
rnacentral:rRNA from 1 species